rnacentral:rRNA from 1 species
AACUAAGCAUAUCAAUAKCGGAGAAAAGAAACUARCAAGGAUUCCCCUAGUAACUGCGAGUGAAGCGGGAAGAGCUCAAAUUUGAAAUCUGGCGUCUUCGGCGUCCGAGUUGUAAUCUGGAGAAGCGUUUUCCGUGCCGGACCGUGUACAAGUCCAUUGGAACAUGGCGUCAUAGAGGGUGAGAAUCCCGUCUUUGACACGGACUCCCGGUGCUCUGCGAUGCGCUCUCGAAGAGUCGAGUUGUUUGGGAAUGCAGCUCAAAAUGGGUGGUAAAUUCCAUCUAAAGCUAAAUAUUGGCGAGAGACCGAUAGCGAACAAGUACCGUGAGGGAAAGAUGAAAAGCACUUUGGAAAGAGAGUAAAACAGUACGUGAAAUUGUUGAAAGGGAAACGCUUGGAGUCAGUCGCGUCUUCUGGAACUCAGCCUUGCUUCUGCUCGGUGCACUUUCCAGUUUGACGGGUCAGCAUCGGCUUCCGGGGGUAGACAAAGGCGUGGGGAAGGUGGCAGCUCCGGCUGUGUUAUAGCCCCGCGUUGUACGUGCCCUUGGGGACCGAGGAAUCCGGCGCCAGUCGCCUGGGAUGCUGGCGUAAUGGCUUUAAACGACCCGUCUUGAAACACGGACCAAGGAGUGCUACAUGCUCGCGAGUGUUUGGGUGGAAAACCCGAGCGCGCAAUGAAAGUGAAAGUCGAGACCCUUUGCGGGGGCACCGACGCCCGAKCCUGAAGUUUACGGACGGCCUUGCGGUAGAGCGAGUAUGUUGCGACCCGAAAGAUGGUGAACUAUUCCUGAGGAGGGYGAAGCCAGAGGAAACUCUGGUGGAGGCUCGUAGCGGUUCUGACGUGCAAAUCGAUCGCAGGACUUG